rnacentral:rRNA from 1 species
UACGUAGGGUCCGAGCGUUGUCCGAAAUUAUUGGGCGUAAAGGGCUCGUAGGCGGUUUGUCGCGUCGGGAGUGAAAACUCAGGGCUCAACCCUGAGCGUGCUUCCGAUACGGGCAGACUAGAGGUAUUCAGGGGAGAACGGAAUUCCUGGUGUAGCGGUGGAAUGCGCAGAUAUCAGGAGGAACACCGGUGGCGAAGGCGGUUCUCUGGGAAUUACCUGACGCUGAGGAGCGAAAGCAUGGGGAGCGAACAGG